rnacentral:rRNA from 1 species
UACGUAGGGUGCAAGCGUUGUCCGGAAUUAUUGGGCGUAAAGAGCUCGUAGGCGGUCUGUUGCGUCGGCUGUGAAAACCCGGGGCUCAACUCCGGGCCUGCAGCCGAUACGGGCAGACUAGAGGUAGGUAGGGGAGAAUGGAAUUCCCGGUGUAGCGGUGAAAUGCGCAGAUAUCGGGAGGAACACCGGUGGCGAAGGCGGUUCUCUGGGCCUUACCUGACGCUGAGGAGCGAAAGCGUGGGGAGCGAACAGG